GGUUCCGUGGUGUAGUGGUCAUCACGUCUGUCUUACACACAGAAGGUCCCCAGUUCGAUCCUGGGCGGAGCCA
rnacentral:tRNA from 1 species